rfam:Camelus ferus unplaced genomic scaffold scaffold1020, whole genome shotgun sequence.
GAGGGCAUGGCUCAAGUGGUAGAGUGCGUGCUUAGCAAGCACAAGGUCCUGGGUUCAAUCCCCAGUCCCUCCU